rnacentral:rRNA from 1 species
CAGUAGCCGCGGUAAUACGAAGGGGGCUAGCGUUGUUCGGAUUUACUGGGCGUAAAGGGCGCGUAGGCGGGCGAAUAAGUCAGGGGUGAAAUCCCAAGGCUCAACCUUGGAACUGCCUUUGAUACUGUUUGUCUUGAGUUCGAGAGAGGUAAGUGGAACUGCGAGUGUAGAGGUGAAAUUCGUAGAUAUUCGCAAGAACGCCAGUGGCGAAGGCGGCUUACUGGCCCGGAACUGACGCUGAGGCUCGACAGCGUGGGGAGCAAACAGGAUUAGAUACCCCAGUAGUCCCUGUCUCUUAUAU